GCUGGGUGUGGUGGCACACACUUGGAAUCCCAGCAGCUUGGGAGGCUGAGGCAGGAGGAUCCCAAGUUCAAAGCCAGCCUCAGCAAUGGCGAUGCCGGCUAAGCAACUCAGUGAGACCCUGUCUCUA
rnacentral:sRNA from 1 species